UUGAGGAGAAAGUGUGAACAAACGUUUGUUGUGAUUUUUUUUAUAUAUAAAAUGUCGUAACAGACAGGUUCAUAACAUUAGGCCCUUUUCCACCGCAGGAACUUUCCCAUUUACCCAAACACAUAAAGUUCCCCCUGUGUUUCCACCAAAAACUACCUGGGUAGUUGUAGUUCUUCAGGUAUCUUUCAGGCUGAGGAACACUGAUUGGUUGAACACAGUUGGGGGCGUUCCUAAAACUUGUUUUUCCCAACACAUGACCGCCUUUGCAAUACAAGUGGCGUCAUGUCAAUUUCUUUUGUAUUUCUAUGACAACAAACUUGACAAUGGAGAGAAAGAAGAGCCAAAAGAGCUUUCACAUUGCAGGAACUUUUGAGGAGUGUCUGGGUGCUGAAGAAUGCUAAUCAGUGGAACUACUAUGGAGUGUUUUUACUCAGCCGUAAUCUUUCAACUCUGUGCAGUUUAUUAGUUUUUAUAAACUUAUUUUUGUUACGAGAAGUUAGGGUAAAGUUAAAGUACCAAUGAUAGUCACACACACACACCAAGUGUGGUGAGAUUAUUCUCUGCAUUUGACCCGUCCCAUUGUUCCACCCCCUGGGAGGUGAGGGGUGCAGGGAGCAGCAGCGGUGGCUGCGCCUGGGAGUCAUUUUGGUGAUUUAACCCCCAAUUCCAAGCCAUGAUGCUUAGAAGUGGAUGGACUCUUUUAAACGUAUGAAGCUGGACUCAAAGCGGUGACCUUAGGUGCUUACCACUGUGACUUCAUUAGACAAAUGUGAAAAAGAAGGCGGCACACGAGUGGAACAAAGAAGAGUGUGGGGCUGCCCAUUGAGGCUGUGGUGCUGCUGUGGUGGCUGUGAUACCAUUUCCAUGAUCACUAGUGGUAAUGGUGUGGCUAUGUAUGUGUGUAGUGUGCAUAUCUAUGUAUAUAUUUAUCAUGUAUGUAUGUAUAUACAAGUUCAUUAAGUUUGUACAUAGAGUGAACAGGUAGUUUUAGCUCAGAUUAAUUUGAUUUAAAGAAAAGGGGUGGGAUUAAAUAAGUGUAAACUUCUUCUCACUCCUUUUCAAAUACCGUAUUUCCUUGAAUUGCCGCCAGGGCGCUAAUUAAUUUAAAACCUCUUCUCACUCCGGCACUUACCAAAGGCAUGCGGUAAAUUUAGGCCUGCACUUAGAAAUUUGAGUGUGAUGUAAGGAUACCAUCAUGAAAAGCACAUUUAAUAAAAAAAACGUUAUUAUGGUCUUACCUUUACUUAUAAAUGAAGUCCAUGCGCAGCUCCUUCUGAUCAAAAGCACCGAUAACUUGUUUAUAGAAGUCUUCCUUAUCUUUCUUCAGUUUUAAAAGUCUCUCUGUCUCGAUGGAGAUCUUCCUUUAUUACCUCCUGCUUCCAUUGAAAGUCCAGUUUAGAAAACGGUUUUAUUUUAGAUAUGUAAUCCUCCAUGUUAAAAGUGCAGGCCAGAGGAAAAAAUAAACGAUGGCUGCUCACUCUUGCUGCUUGUUGUCACUUCUUCUGCAGCCGAGUAGUCGCAAGAAGGAUCAUUAGCGCCCUCUACCACCAGGAGGCGGGAGUCAUUUAAUGACUCAUAUUUGACACACGCAGCUACGGUAUAUUAAUGAAACAUAGCUGCUUACUGUUCUUUUUAGCAUAUUCAAUAGCUUGGACCUUAAAUCCUACUGAAUAGCUCUUAAUCUUCUUCCCUUUAUGCGAUUUCAAAUGAUUGAAAUCAGCCUCCUCCAUUUUGAAAAUGAUGACAGGUGAAGUGUCACUCGUGACGUGACGAGUUUGACCCGGCGGAAAUUCUAGGCAUAUGCUAAUUAUUUGGCGAAACGAGUUUGACCCGGCGGAAAUUCUAGGCAUGCGCUACUAAAAAUAAUAUUUUGAGAAACGAGUUUGACCCGGCGUUAAUCCUGAACCGGCGGUAAUCCUAAGCAUGCGCUAAUUAUUUUGCGAAACGAGUUUGACCCGGCAGUAAUUCUAGGCAGGCGCAUACUGUAUACCCGGCGGCAAUUCAAGGAAAUACGGUAUGUAAAAAAAAAAAAAAUACAAAUAAAAAAAGUCCAAUGCUCAUUUGUUUUCGUUUUGUUAUAAUGGCUGUUAAGGCCACAGCACUGUAUUGAUCAGGAUCAGGCUUGCUCUUGUUUUUUUGCAUAUUUGAAAAAAAAAGAUAUCAAUCAAUGAAAGUGAACAUCUAUUUAUUUACCUGGGAGUAGAUCUCCAAGUGCAGCUCUCCCAUGCCCGAGAUGAUGGUCUCUUUACUCUCCGGGUCAAAAAGAACACGGAAUGUUGGAUCUUCCCGGGUAAAACGGCUGAUGCCUUUAGAGAAUUUAUCCAAGUCGUUCUGGUUCCAAAGAAAUUGAAUUAAGAAAUCUUUCUUGACCAAAUAAGAGAAGUACCUCUUUUUUUCACCUUGUUGGCUGGCUUCAUGGACAUAGAAAUGACCGGAUCUGGGAUGUGUAUUGAUUCCUGUGAAGGAAACAAGAAGAAGAAAUGAGAAAAGCAACUUCAUGUGUGCUACAUACCUCAGAUCCAAAAGGAGUUACCAUAGAGAGGCUUUGGCUGGUCUUGGCAGUGAAAGUGUCUCCGCUGGCACAGUCGAUACCAAACAGAGCACAGAUAUCACCUGCAUACACUUCCUCCACAUCCUGCAAGACAUUCAUGCAACAUCUUAUUUAUCACCUAUAUUAUUUAUAGUUGAUAUCCAUCAUCUAUAUUUAUAAUUCAUGUUGCCGUUUUUUGUUCUCAUGUUAAAAGUGUUUCAUUAAAAAUACAAGCAUUUUAACAUAUACAUUCCUUUCUUUCAUGAUGACAAAAAUAUAAGUUGGUUGGAAUCAGACAGGAUUCACAGUCGUGAUGAUAACUUCCACAUUUUCAAAUUUACAUUGUGGAAAAAAGUCCUCCUUUCUGUAAAAUACCACAUAAUAGUGGUUGUUUUUUUGCAUCUUAUUUGUCCAGCUUCCAUACUACUUUUUAUACACUUUACAAAAAAUACCAAAGCGUUCGACUGACACACCCUCCACCAUCGAUGUAAUGGCCACACCUGCUGUAACGUAUUGUUUUUUGGGCCUCCCUAUGUCCAGCAUUCAAAGAUUACAGUUGGUACAAAAUGUGGAUGUUAGACUUUUGACAAGAACGAGAAAGUUUGAUCAUAUUACGCCAAUCCUGUAUAUACCUUUAUAUACAUAUAUAUAUACAGUGGUAAACAUGCCCUUUCCCAACUACUUUGGCACGUGUUGCAGCCAUGAAAUUCCAAGUUAAUUAAUAUUUGCAGAACAAAAAUAAAGUUUAUGAGUUUGAACAUCAAA